rnacentral:rRNA from 1 species
UACGUAGGGGGCAAGCGUUGUCCGGAAUCAUUGGGCGUAAAGAGCGUGUAGGCGGCUCGGUAAGUCCGCUCUGAAAGCCCGGGGCUCAACCCCGGGAGGCGGGCGGAUACUGUCGAGCUAGAGUCCGGAAGAGGAGAGUGGAAUUCCUGGUGUAGCGGUGAAAUGCGCAGAUAUCAGGAAGAACACCCGUGGCUAAGGCGGCUCUCUAGUACGGUACUGACGCUGAGACGCGAAAGCGUGGGGAGCGAACAGG